rnacentral:rRNA from 1 species
CACGUAGGGCGCGAGCGUUGUCCGGAAUUAUUGGGAGUAAAGAGCUCGUAGGCGGCCUGUUGCGUCCGCUGUGAAAGCCCGGGGCUUAACCCCGGGUCUGCAGUGGAUACGGGCAGGCUAGAGGUAGGUAGGGGAGAAUGGAAUUCCCGGUGUAGCGGUGAAAUGCGCAGAUAUCGGGAGGAACACCGGUGGCGAAGGCGGUUCUCUGGGCCUUACCUGACGCUGAGGAGCGAAAGCGUGGGGAGCGAACAGG